rnacentral:rRNA from 1 species
AUUGAACGCUGGCGGCAGGCUUAACACAUGCAAGUCGAGCGGAGAGAGGUAGCUUGCUGCUGAUCUUAGCGGCGGACGGGUGAGUAAUGCUUAGGAAUCUGCCUAUUAGUGGGGGACAACAUUUCGAAAGGAAUGCUAAUACCGCAUACGUCCUACGGGAGAAAGCAGGGGAUCUUCGGACCUUGCGCUAAUAGAUGAGCCUAAGUCGGAUUAGCUAGUUGGUGGGGUAAAGGCCUACCAAGGCGACGAUCUGUAGCGGGUCUGAGAGGAUGAUCCGCCACACUGGGACUGAGACACGGCCCAGACUCCUACGGGAGGCAGCAGUGGGGAAUAUUGAACAAUGGGCGCAAGCCUGAUCCAGCCAUGCCGCGUGUGUGAAGAAGGCCUUAUGGUUGUAAAGCACUUUAAGUGAGGAGGAGGCUACUUUAGUUAAUACCUAGAGAUAGUGGACGUUACUCGCAGAAUAAGCACCGGCUAACUCUGUGCCAGCAGCCGCCGUAAAAC